rnacentral:rRNA from 1 species
UACGUAGGGGGCAAGCGUUAUCCGGAUUUACUGGGUGUAAAGGGAGCGUAGACGGUUAAUCAAGUCAGAAGUGAAAACCCAGGGCUCAACCUUGGGACUGCUUUUGAAACUGCCAGGCUAGAGUGUCGGAGAGGUAAGUGGAAUUCCUAGUGUAGCGGUGAAAUGCGUAGAUAUUAGGAGGAACACCAGUGGCGAAGGCGGCUUACUGGACGGUAACUGACGCUGAGGCUCGAAAGCGUGGGGAGCAAACAGG